rnacentral:rRNA from 1 species
UACGGAGGGGGCUAGCGUUGUUCGGAAUUACUGGGCGUAAAGCGCACGUAGGCGGCUUUGUAAGUUAGAGGUGAAAGCCCGGAGCUCAACUCCGGAAUUGCCUUUAAGACUGCAUCGCUUGAAUCAUGGAGAGGUGAGUGGAAUUCCGAGUGUAGAGGUGAAAUGCGUAGAUAUCGGGAGGAACACCUGAGGCGAAGGCGGGCUACUGGGCCGAUACUGACGCUGAGGCGCGAAAGCCAGGGGAGCAAACGGG